rnacentral:rRNA from 1 species
UAACGGCGAGUGAAGCGGCAAAAGCUCAAAUUUGAAAUCUGGUACCUUCGGUGCCCGAGUUGUAAUUUGGAGAGGGCAACUUUGGGGCCGUUCCUUGUCUAUGUUCCUUGGAACAGGACGUCAUAGAGGGUGAGAAUCCCGUGUGGCGAGGAGUGCGGUUCUUUGUAAAGUGCCUUCGAAGAGUCGAGUUGUUUGGGAAUGCAGCUCUAAGUGGGUGGUAAAUUCCAUCUAAAGCUAAAUAUUGGCGAGAGACCGAUAGCGAACAAGUACAGUGAUGGAAAGAUGAAAAGAACUUUGAAAAGAGAGUGAAAAAGUACGUGAAAUUGUUGAAAGGGAAGGGCAUUUGAUCAGACAUGGUGUUUUGUGCCCUCUGCUCCUUGUGGGUAGGGGAAUCUCGCAUUUCACUGGGCCAGCAUCAGUUUUGGUGGCAGGAUAAAUCCAUAGGAAUGUAGCUUGCCUCGGUAAGUAUUAUAGCCUGUGGGAAUACUGCCAGCUGGGACUGAGGACUGCGACGUAAGUCAAGGAUGCUGGCAUAAUGGUUAUAUGCCGCCCGUCUUGACC